CGCCACGGCUGAACUUCACCAUUCUCGCUCCUCAGCCGGAAGCUGAUCCAGUGAAACUUGGUGCACCCAGGGCGGGCAUGGAGGAGGGAUGGGAAAAGCCUGGCCUACUAUCCUCUAGACUGAGCAGAGGUGGUGGAAAUGGAUUCAGCCCUCUUGAAAAGAAGCAGGAGAAAGGAACACUUCAGCUGGCCUCUCCCCCUGUCUCCCCCAGCCCCAGCCCAGCCCGCUGCUGGAAAACAGCUGAACAAUCUCACCCUGACCAGCCCCAACGAAGCACUUACCGAAGGCUUGGGAGCAGGCGACUUGUUGCCUUCGGGAGUUUUAGUUAGCCAUUUCGUUGAUGCGACUGGAAACCCCCACUUUCAAGCCUGCGGUUUCCUGCACACAGAUUAAGGGUGGUUAGAAAAUGAAACCAAAGUAAACUAUAUCUGCAAUUACCUCUGCUAAGGAA